CCCGGCUAACUUCGUGCCAGCAGCCGCGGUAAUACGAAGGGGGCUAGCGUUACUCGGAAUUAUUGGGCGUAAAGCGUGCGUAGGCUGCUUAGUAAGUCAAAAGUGAAAGCCUUGGGCUUAACCUAAGAAUUGCUUUUGAAACUGCUAGGCUUGAGUACUGUAGGGGAUAGCGGAAUUCCUAGUGUAGGGGUGAAAUUCGUAGAUAUUAGGAGGAACACCGGAGGCGAAAGCGGUUAUCUGGACAGUUACUGACGCUGUUGCACGAAAGCGUGGGGAGCAAACAGGAUUAGAUACCCUGGUAGUCCACGC
rnacentral:rRNA from 1 species